rnacentral:rRNA from 1 species
AAAUUGAAGAGUUUGAUCAUGGCUCAGAUUGAACGCUGGCGGCAGGCCUAACACAUGCAAGUCGAACGGUAACAGGAAGCAGCUUGCUGCUUUGCUGACGAGUGGCGGACGGGUGAGUAAUGUCUGGGAAACUGCCUGAUGGAGGGGGAUAACUACUGGAAACGGUGGCUAAUACCGCAUAACGUCGCAAGACCAAAGAGGGGGACCUUCGGGCCUCUUGCCAUCAGAUGUGCCCAGAUGGGAUUAGCUUGUUGGUGAGGUAACGGCUCACCAAGGCGACGAUCCCUAGCUGGUCUGAGAGGAUGACCAGCCACACUGGAACUGAGACACGGUCCAGACUCCUACGGGAGGCAGCAGUGGGGAAUAUUGCACAAUGGGCGCAAGCCUGAUGCAGCCAUGCCGCGUGUAUGAAGAAGGCCUUCGGGUUGUAAAGUACUUUCAGCGGGGAGGAAGGUGUUGUGGUUAAUAACCGCAGCAAUUGACGUUACCCGCAGAAGAAGCACCGGCUAACUCCGUGCCAGCAGCCGCGGUAAUACGGAGGGUGCAAGCGUUAAUCGGAAUUACUGGGCGUAAAGCGCACGCAGGCGGUCUGUCAAGUCGGAUGUGAAAUCCCCGGGCUCAACCUGGGAACUGCAUUCGAAACUGGCAGGCUUGAGUCUUGUAGAGGGGGGUAGAAUUCCAGGUGUAGCGGUGAAAUGCGUAGAGAUCUGGAGGAAUACCGGUGGCGAAGGCGGCCCCCUGGACAAAGACUGACGCUCAGGUGCGAAAGCGUGGGGAGCAAACAGGAUUAGAUACCCUGGUAGUCCACGCCGUAAACGAUGUCUACUUGGAGGCUGUGCCCUUGAGGCGUGGCUUCCGGAGCUAACGCGUUAAGUAGACCGCCUGGGGAGUACGGCCGCAAGGUUAAAACUCAAAUGAAUUGACGGGGGCCCGCACAAGCGGUGGAGCAUGUGGUUUAAUUCGAUGCAACGCGAAGAACCUUACCUGGUCUUGACAUCCACGGAAGAAUUCAGAGAUGGAUUUGUGCCUUCGGGAACCGUGAGACAGGUGCUGCAUGGCUGUCGUCAGCUCGUGUUGUGAAAUGUUGGGUUAAGUCCCGCAACGAGCGCAACCCUUAUCCUUUGUUGCCAGCGAUUCGGUCGGGAACUCAAAGGAGACUGCCAGUGAUAAACUGGAGGAAGGUGGGGAUGACGUCAAGUCAUCAUGGCCCUUACGACCAGGGCUACACACGUGCUACAAUGGCGCAUACAAAGAGAAGCGACCUCGCGAGAGCAAGCGGACCUCAUAAAGUGCGUCGUAGUCCGGAUUGGAGUCUGCAACUCGACUCCAUGAAGUCGGAAUCGCUAGUAAUCGUGGAUCAGAAUGCCACGGUGAAUACGUUCCCGGGCCUUGUACACACCGCCCGUCACACCAUGGGAGUGGGUUGCAAAAGAAGUAGGUAGCUUAACCUUCGGGAGGGCGCUUACCACUUUGUGAUUCAUGACUGGGGUGAAGUCGUAACAAGGUAACCGUAGGGGAACCUGCGGUUGGAUCACCUCCUUACCUUAAAGAA